AGCAUAAUGACCUGAAUGCUCAUUGGUCCACAUUCUAAGUUAGGUGACGUCAUUCACCUGCGCUUGCAUUUAGGCUCAACGUGUGCGUCUUCGGGAACGCUCGUCUGUUUGCUUUAUGCUGCACGCUGUUGUUAUCGUUUCCAGCGCGUCUUUUUUUGGGAACUCUCGCCGGUCUGCUUAAUGCUGCACGCUGCUGUAACCGCUAUUGGCGUGUUUGUUGCGAACUCCUGCCUUAUGGUUUGCUGCACGCGGCUGUGACCGGUUUAAACGGAUGACCACUUUCUAUUUGCGUUUCCUACCAACGUGGUUUUGGCUUAUUCGGAUGGCUGUUGUGCGGGCUUCUGUGGACUUCAGUUCAUUUGUUGGUGCGUGAAUGACGACUGCAUUAAACUAUUGAGUGGGGGUGUCCUUUUGAGUGCCUGGCCCCGCAGUUACGGAGAACUACAGUUUGUGUAGUGUCAUCGCUGUUUUGUUAUAGGCCAGUGUGAUACUACUGACACAAUGUUGUGACACUGCUGUGCUCCAUCUCAUCCUGCAUAUUAUCUGUGUAUACGUAAUCCCUCAUUGGAGAUUAGGUCCAUAUCAUAAGACUUUAAAAUUACCUUCUUUUGUUUUCUUUAUAUUUUGUUUUGCCGAAUGAGUUAAAUUUUCAGUUUUCUUUCUUUGUUUAAUUUUGAUGUUGUGAUUUUGGCUUUCUUGAUAACCAUUGUUUGUAAAUUGAUUAUUCUUUUGGCUAUACUGUUUGUAUUAGUUUAAGUGUGGAUUUAUGUGAGAAACUUACAUUUUAUUUUGUCUGAUUGAUUUUGGUUAAUUUAUAUUUGUUUUUUUGUGUUGUUGGAUUGGGCCUUAAAGUUGAACAUCAAGGCCUAUAGGUGGAUGAGUUUUUGCCAUCCACCUGCUAGCUUAUAUAACCCUGUAUUAACCUUUUCUUCUCUGUGUGGGGCGUGUGUGGUGUGGAGAGUGUGUUUCUCAGGAGCUGUGGCCUUCUGUACUUAGGAAGUCGUUUCCCUCUAUCUUUGGUGGUGGUAUUCACGACGUGUGCUGUGCUUGAUCAUUCACUGGGGGUCUUGGUGCUGUGAGUGUGUAGUGCGUGUGUGAGAGUGAGGGUAAACGGACAUAUCCUUUGUAGGGCUGUAGUUUUUCCUGUUGUUUGAACAUUGUAAACGUAGUUGACUGAG